rnacentral:rRNA from 1 species
GACGAAGGGGGCUAGCGUUGUUCGGAAUUACUGGGCGUAAAGGGCUCGUAGGUGGCCAACUAAGUCAGACGUGAAAUCCCUCAGCUUAACUGGGGAACUGCGUCUGAUACUGGAUGGCUUGAGAUUGGGAGAGGGAUGCGGAAUUCCAGGUGUAGCGGUGAAAUGCGUAGAUAUCUGGAGGAACACCGGCGGCGAAGGCGGCAUCCUGGACCAACACUGACACUGAGGAGCGAAAGCCAGGGGAGCAAACGGG